GCAGCUGUAGCUCAGUGGUACAGUGCGUGCCUAUAAUGCAUGAGAUCUUGGGUUCAAUUCCCAGCACUACA
rnacentral:tRNA from 1 species